UGGUUCUGGCAUCGAUGAAGAACGCAGCGAAAUGCGAUAAGUAAUGUGAAUUGCAGAAUUCAGUGAAUCAUCGAAUCUUUGAACGCACAUUGCGCCCGCCAGUAUUCUGGCGGGCAUGCCUGUUCGAGCGUCAUUUCAACCCCUCAAGCCCGGCUUGGUGUUGGGGCCCUACGUGCGCCGUAGGCCCCGAAUCCCAGUGGCGGGCUCGCCGCGAUCCCGAGCGUAGUAGUGCUACCUCGCUCAGGGCGCGCGGCGGGCGCCGGCCGUGAAACACACAACACUGUACCAAAAAGGUUGACCUCGGAUCAGGUAGGAAUACCCGCUGA
rnacentral:misc_RNA from 1 species